rnacentral:rRNA from 1 species
UGGGUGAUCUGCCCUGCACUUCGGGAUAAGCCUGGGAAACUGGGUCUAAUACCGGAUAUGACUCCUCAUCGCAUGGUGGGGGGUGGAAAGCUUUAUUGUGGUUUUGGAUGGACUCGCGGCCUAUCAGCUUGUUGGUGAGGUAAUGGCUCACCAAGGCGACGACGGGUAGCCGGCCUGAGAGGGUGACCGGCCACACUGGGACUGAGACACGGCCCAGACUCCGUACGGGAGGCAG